rnacentral:lncRNA from 1 species
UGCAGGCUCUUCAGACAGGAGAAUGACUCAUCCAGGUGGCCUCCAAUCGAGCAAGAGGGAAAUAUGUGAGUGGUUGAAAACACUUUGGAAAACCAGGAGAACAUGGAAGGAUAUCCAGCUGAAGAAAAACAGCCCAACAUGCAUCCCUGUGGUUUUCUUCCCUCUGUGUUCAGCUCUCCAGGUUAUGCUGGUGUAUUUGGCCUUGGCGUGUGCAAGUGGCAUUGGAGUCCCGGGCUCUGAACACACAAAGAGUGAGUUCGACGCUCUCCCAGAGCUCUUUCUCCUACAAAAGGAGGUAUACAAUAAGGAUACAUUUUAGUUCUACGCUAAAAAGCAGAUGAGUGUCAUUUCUGGUAAGUCUCUUAAGGA